AUACUGCCUUUGAUCUUGUUGAAUUCGACAUUGUGAUGAUAUUUUAAUGUGUAUGAAUGUAAUGUUGGUUUUAUUGAGAAAUUGGUCAUGUGCCUAACUUUGGUUGAAUUAAUUGUAGAUAUUCUCUAAGCCGCUCACCACUUUAUCCAGCUACAUAUCCUUUGUCGUCCAGCGGUUAGGAUAUAUGGCUUCAACAUCCCUUCUCUCUAACUGAACUUCAUGUUGCUCCA
rnacentral:lncRNA from 1 species